rnacentral:rRNA from 1 species
AUUGAACGCUGGCGGCAUGCCUUACACAUGCAAGUCGAACGGCAGCGGACCUUCGGGUGCCGGCGAGUGGCGAACGGGUGAGUAAUGCAUCGGAACGUACCUUUCAGUGGGGGAUAACGUAGCGAAAGUUACGCUAAUACCGCAUAUUCUGUGAGCAGGAAAGCAGGGGAUCGCAAGACCUUGCGCUGAUUGAGCGGCCGAUGUAAGAUUAGCUAGUUGGUGAGGUAAAGGCUCACCAAGGCGACGAUCUGUAGCGGGGCUGAGAGGAUGAUCCGCCACACUGGAACUGAGACACGGUCCAGACUCCUACGGGAGGCAGCAGUGGGGAAUUUUGGACAAUGGGGGCAACCCUGAUCCAGCCAUGCCGCGUGAGUGAAGAAGGCCUUCGGGUUGUUAAGCUCUUUCGGCCGGGAAGAAAUCGCACGGGCUAAUACCCUGUGUGGAUGACGGUACCGGAAUAAGAAGCACCGGCUAACUACAUGCCAGCCGCCGCAGUAAGAC